GGCACUCGGCAAAACCCGAAAUACUCUCGGCAACGACUUCGCCGAGUGUUACACUCGGCAUCUGGCACUCGGGAAAUUUUGUGUCGGCAAAGUAAUAUUCGCCGAGUGUUUUCGGUCGGGCACUCGGCACAGCUUUCGCCGAGUGCCCCGAAAACACUCGGCAAACCUUUUUUUGGAAAAAAAAUAAAAAAAGCACGCCGACACCCGUCGGCCGUACCACAGCACGCCGCCGCCGCCGCC
rnacentral:lncRNA from 1 species